GAUGAACGCUGGCGGCGUGCUUAACACAUGCAAGUCGAACGAUGAAGCCCAGCUUGCUGGGUGGAUUAGUGGCGAACGGGUGAGUAACACGUGAGUAACCUGCCCUUAACUCUGGGAUAAGCCUGGGAAACUGGGUCUAAUACCGGAUAGGAGCGUCCACCGCAUGGUGGGUGUUGGAAAGAUUUAUCGGUUUUGGAUGGACUCGCGGCCUAUCAGCUUGUUGGUGAGGUAAUGGCUCACCAAGGCGACGACGGGUAGCCGGCCUGAGAGGGUGACCGGCCACACUGGGACUGAGACACGGCCCAGACUCCUACGGGAGGCAGCAGUGGGGAAUAUUGCACAAUGGGCGCAAGCCUGAUGCAGCGACGCCGCGUGAGGGAUGACGGCCUUCGGGUUGUAAACCUCUUUCAGUAGGGAAGAAGCGAAAGUGACGGUAUCUGCAGAAGAAGCACCGGCUAACUACGUG
rnacentral:rRNA from 1 species